AGGGCGCAGCCUUGAGACAGUGAUGUGUCGCUGAGACCAUCUGGACGGUAUUCGUGGCUGAACCCAGACUGCAGGAUAAAACUGGUACCUGGUCUCUCUGGGCUCAAAAUAAUAGAGUACCUUCAACUUAAUGAGAAUACAAAUGCAUCCUACUCUGCCAGAGACCAAAAGAAGAGGCAGAAAUCACAUUUCUCCUGCAAAAUCCCCACUUGAACAGGGGAAAAUUGGUUCCACUAUUGACAAGAUAAUCUAGAAUUAUACACAAUCACACACACAUUUUUUAAGUAAGAUAAAUGCAAUAUAGCACCGUGGGGAGGGGCAGUGCAUUGACUGAACACUUACUUUCUUGAAAGAAAGUGUGUGUAUCUUCAAACAUUGAGUAUAACACUUUAACAUCUUUAGCAGAAUGUUAUGGCUAAACUCAAACUCCCAUGAAGGCAGAGACUGUAUUUCCUUCAUCACACAGUACGUGGAACUUGGCUGACAUAUGGUAGACACUUGUUGGAUGAAUGGAUGAAUGAAUGAGUGUACCAUCAAUCCUUCCCUUUUCAGUAUCAUUUGAUUAGUUUUCUCACUGGGCCAGA